rnacentral:lncRNA from 1 species
UCCGCUUCUUUUAAUUGGUUUGAUCUGAUUAAUUGUGGGUGCUCAUUCAGGUGCCCGGAAUGCGACGGAGCGGGCUUUGUCCGAAGCACAGGCGUGACUUUGAAGGCCAAUGCUGCAAGGAAGGAUCUGAAGGAGAUCGUCUGCAAACGUUGCAAUGGUCUUGGCAAAUUGGGUCAGAUUGACAAAAAAUAACGAAAAUUUCUAAAAAAGUAAAUAACUGUAUAUGUAAAAAUAUAUGAAUUUAAAAUACUGGAAGGGGUCGUAUGCAAACUGUUACUCUCUUAAAUUGAUGAUAAUACUUUUUUAUUUCUUAAUAAGGAUAAGCUGUUAGUUCUCCCCUUUUCUGAAUACUUCACUCCUCCGAUCUACGGUGAUGUUGACGCUGAGUCAUGUUCCGUUCUUUCCACCCCAGAUCUCCUAUGACAACAAGCAUGGAUCUUCUUCAUCCCUCAGUACUAGGUUUAAUAGCCAGAGAAGAAGAAGCAGUCGGUGCAGAGUGAGCACUGUGGUGAGCAAAGCCAGUACCGUUCUCGUGACCGGAGCUGGUGGUAAAACUGGUCAGAUUGUUUAUGAGAAGCUUAAGGAGAGAGAGGGUGAGUUUGUGGGUAGAGGUUUGGUGAGGACGGAGGAGAGCAAGAAGAAAAUUGGAGGAGGAGAUGAUGUUUUCGUGGGCGAUAUCAGAGAUUCAGAAACAAUGGUUCCUGCAUUUGAGGGUAUCGAUUCUCUGAUCAUUCUGACCAGUGCCGUUCCGAAGAUGAAACCUGGAUUCGAUCCAAGUAAAGGGGAGAGACCGGAAUUCUAUUUUCCAGACGGUUGUUUUCCCGAACAAGUUGAUUGGAUUGGACAAAAGAAUCAGAUCGACUUAGCCAAAUCAGCUGGGGUGAAGCAGAUCGUUUUGGUCGGGUCAAUGGGCGGGACGGACAUUAAAAACAAUUUAAAUCUUCUUGGCAAUGGCAACAUAUUGGUUUGGAAGAGGAAGGCUGAACAAUACCUGGCAGAUUCUGGAAUACCAUACACCAUCAUAAGGUAAUGAAUUAUGAAUGUGUUUGAUUCAUUCGCUGAAUAAAUCGUAAUUACUCUGUAUCAGAGCCGGUGGCUUACAAGAUAAAGACGGCGGGUUAAGAGAACUCAUCGUCGGUAAAGACGACGAGUUUCUCAAAAGCGAAACGAGAACCAUUGCAAGAGCAGAUGUUGCUCAAAUGUGCAUCAAGGCGCUGGAGUUUGAAGAAGCCAAGAACAAGGCAUUGGAUUUGGUAUCCAAGACAGAAGACGCCGGAGUUGCCACCACGGAUUUCCAAGCACUUUACGCUCAGAUCACUUCCACAUUCUAAGUGCAAUAAUUCAGUAAAUAAACGUGGUUAAAUUAAGUUCAUUUUACAAACUAUGAUUGAUCACUACGGUUUCCAUGCUGAAAUUGCAUAAAUAAUGCGUCCCUUCCAUCCCUGCACAAGCCAUCUUCCAUCAGUAUCUAUAACAAAGUCUUUAUGAUAACAAGAAUGCACUUUAUCCUUUGAUUCCUUCAGUAUUUCUUUGUUCAGAGGAAGCUGUAUGUAUCCAGCCCUUAGAUUUCUCACUUGCCAUUGCUUGUAAAUCUCUGGUCUCUCAACUCUUUCAGAACCCUCACAUGCAAUCACAUUCAUGGCUUCUCGACCAUAUAUCUCCUUCUCUAUCAGUAAUCUCUCUGGAUGUUCGCGAGGUACAGUUGCCUCUAACAUGUCGAAAGAACAUGAGAAAUGGAAAAGAGCCUCCCUGAACCUUGUCACGAAGAAUGGAGCGCUGUAUGCACCGUUUACCACGCCCUGGAUGAAAACAUUUGGAUUCAGCUUCUUGAUCUUAUUCAGCACCACAUUUCUAGGACUGUCCACCGCCACUACCGUCUCGUCCACAAGAUUUCUCAAUUUGUAUAAACAAUUCACAACAACCACUUCGUUGUUAUUGUCCACCUUCAGAUCCUCAAUUUCAAUCUUCUCCCAUUUGGAUGCAAUGGGAUGGUACUCAAAGGGAACAUUGAAUCUAUCAGCAUAGCCUGCCAAACGUCGUCCUGUUUCCUCAAUCCGUUCGUUGGGGCGAAAACCAGGUUGGGGAACAUCAAUUCCGGUUAUUCGGAGCUUUGGAGGUCCACCUGGAAGCAAUGACAGCCUCUGAAUCAAACAUGGCCACUGAAAUCCAAAGUAGAUGCCAAAGUCUAUAAUGUGAAUUGUAUUAUUCUUCAUUCUCUUUGCCUUGUCUGCAAGAUUUAUAAUAUUUCGAUUUGCGAAAAAAUGUGAGAUUUUCCUGAAUGGACAUGCAGCAUGGUAAAGAUGGUGAGCUUUAAGAGUGUCAGUAGCUGAUUGCCACUUUGCUACAAGAGAAUGGUAGAUCUGGCUUCCAUUUCCUGCAAGCCUAGCCUCUAGGCAAUCUGCAAAAAUAUGAGCAAGUCUCUGGGAUCCAUCACCAUAAGCAGAGGAGUGCUGCCUGAUCUGCUUCAGAAUGUCACUGGCAGUACGAUGGUCAUCAGCAGCAACAGAUUGGGCACAAUGAAUGAGAAGAGUUCUUAGAUCAACGACAUCCUUGUUUUUGCUUUUAACAUUCUUCUUCUUGCUCUUGGAUUUUCCACCUCUCGAUGAAACUCUCUUUGUAUCACUGCCAUUCCUUGUUAUCUUACUCUUCAAAUCCUCUCUGAGUUUAGAAAUGCCAUCCUGGUUCAUUUCUCCAUGCGGACAAAGAAGAACCUCAUCAAAUAGCUCUGACUGAAUGCUCUCCCGGGAUGAAAAUGAAAAAGCUGGUUGCUUAAUACUUCUCCUACCCUCAUCGUCUUCACCAUCCAAAAUAUCAUUGUAAGAUUUUUUUCGUCCUGACAGAAUCGAAUUGAAAACAUCAUGGUGUCUGUUCUCCUCUUCAGCCUUAAUCUUGCACUGGUGAAAGAGAUUAUCGUAGUCCGGAAGGAACUUGCUAGCCUCCUCUACCCCUUUAUUGAAGUUCCAAACGGGCAGGGAUUUAGAUUGGGUGUAGUGAGCAUCCAGAAUGAUGGUAUUAUUGGAGUCGAAAGAGGUCAAUGAAUACGGUGGUGAAGGGUGAUCGUCAAUUAGGGUUGAAUGAACAGUAGAGUUACUUGAAUUUGUAUCAGGAGUAGUUGGCAAUCCAUAUUCGACAUGAGACAAGGGAGGAUAAUCCUGACCUAAAAUUUCAAGAAAAGGUUUCUCAACAGCUAAGAGAUCAGAAUCUCCCAAUGGAACAUUGAACUUGUCCUCUUCCAUCAUAUUAUCCUCCUCCAAAAGCAUCCUCCUUAUGUAACUGAGAGUUAUAUCGGAUUCCUCUGUUUCGGAAUAAGAUGUUUCCAAAUCAACUUGGGGAGGAACAGCAUGGUUGGUACAGCAGUUUGGGCGAGGGCUCUGAGUAUCCAGUCUGAAGGUGUUUCCAAAAUUAUGGAUGGGAAGAGAAGAAGGAACAGGAACAGGAGGAGGAGAAAGAGGAGGAAGAGAAUCCCCAAAUCUGAACUCAUCAAUCAAUCUGGUUAACUCUAUUCCUGGAUCCAUCGUAACCAUUUAUUUCUUCCUAACAAAAGGGCGAGGGAACGCCGACCGCGGACAGACCAGUGAGAGCACGGCCUACCAAAGACAUGCUAACUAAAUCGUCUAACUAAAACAAGAAAGAAAACACACAGUACGAGAGAAAGAUACCUCGGAGUCUGAUCGACGGCGAAUCGGCGAUGAAUCGGCGAUAAAGGAAUUUGAACAACGAGAAUUCCGUCUUGGCCGUUUCAGAUGUGACGAGUCACAAAAGAGAGCCGGCGUACGGGGGUAUAUAAAACAGGUGGGAGUGUGGGACCCAGACUGGCCGGUAAAUCGGGUCUCUGGUCGUAUAGCGUGCACAGUGCGUACUGAAUAAAAAUAUUAUAAGCUGGCAACUUGAGGAUUAUUUGAUUCACACGACAGAUAAUCUGAUAAACUUGGGUUUAAUGCACAGC